AUUGAACGCUGGCGGAAUGCUUUACACAUGCAAGUCGAACGAUGAACCUUAGCUUGCUAGGGGGAUUAGUGGCGAACGGGUGAGUAACAUAUCGGAACGUACCUAGUAAUGGGGGAUAACUAGUCGAAAGAUUAGCUAAUACCGCAUACGCCCUGAGGGGGAAAGUAGGGGAUCUUCGGACCUUACGUUAUUAGAGCGGCCGAUAUCUGAUUAGCUAGUUGGUGGGGUAAAGGCCUACCAAGGCGACGAUCAGUAGCUGGUCUGAGAGGACGACCAGGCACACUGGAACGGAGACACGGUCCAGACUCCUACGGGAGGCAGCAGUGGGGAAUUUUGGACAAUGGGGGCAACCCUGAUCCAGCCAUUCCGCGGGAGUGAAGAUGGCCUUCGGGUUGUAAAGCUCUUUCGCAAGGGAAGAAAACUUACAUUCUAAUAAAGUGUGAUGCUGACGGUACCUUGACAAGAAGCACCGGCUAACUACGUGCCAGCCGCCGCCGUAA
rnacentral:rRNA from 1 species